rnacentral:rRNA from 1 species
AUUGAACGCUGGCGGCAUGCUUUACACAUGCAAGUCGAACGGCAGCGCGGGCUUCGGCCUGGCGGCGAGUGGUGAAGGGGGGAGUAAUGCAUCGGAACGUGGCCAGUAGUGGGGGAUAGCGCGGCGAAAGCCGGAUUAAUACUGCAUACGACCUGAGGGGGAAAACGGGGGAUCGCAAGGCCUCUCCCUAUUGGAGCGGCCGAUGUCGGUAUAGCUAGUUGGGGGGGGAAAGGCUUACCAAGGCGGCGAUCCGAAGCUGGUCUGAGAGGACGACCAGCCAGACUGUGAGUGAGAAACGGCCCAGACUCCGGCAGGAGGAAGCAGUGGGGAAUUUUGGACAAUGGGGGCAACCCUGAUCCAGGCAUGCCGCGUGCGGGAAGAAGGACUUCUGGUUGUAAACCGCUGUAGUUCGGGAAGUAGUACUCUGGUCUAAUACCCCGGGGGGAUGACGGUACCGGAAGAAUAAGCACCGGCUAACUACGUG